UGGGGAAUAUUGGACAAUGGGCGAAAGCCUGAUCCAGCCAUGCCGCGUGAAUGAAGAAGGCCUUAGGGUUGUAAAAUUCUUUCAACGGUGAAGAUAAUGACGGUAACCGUAGAAGAAGCCCCGGCUAAUUUCGUGCCAGCAGCCGCGGUAAUACGAAAGGGGCUAGCGUUGUUCGGAAUUACUGGGCGUAAAGCGCACGUAGGCGGCCUGCCAAGUUGGGGGUGAAAUCCCGGGGCUCAACCCCGGAACUGCCUCCAAAACUGGUAAGCUAGAGGAUGUGAGAGGAAAGUGGAAUUCCGAGUGUAGAGGUGAAAUUCGUAGAUAUUCGGAAGAACACCAGUGGCGAAGGCGACUUUCUGGCACAUUACUGACGCUGAGGUGCGAAAGCGUGGGGAGCGAACAGGAUUAGAUACCCCCGUAGUCC
rnacentral:rRNA from 1 species